rnacentral:tRNA from 1 species
UACUAAUAAUUAUAUUAGUAAAAAAUAUUUAAUUUAUAAAUUAUUUGAUUUUUUUAUGAAAUUGAAAAUAGAAAUAACAUUUGAUGAAUAUUUUUAUUGUUUUUAUUAAACAUAAUAAAUUUUAAAAAAUAAAAUAUUAAAUGUCAAAUUCAAUUAUUCUUAAAAUCGUAAAAUAUUAAUAAUAAAAUGAUAUUUUAAGAUAACAUCUAAACAUAAUUAAAAUAAAAUUAUUUUAAAUUGUAUUUAGUAU